UUUAAAAGUAAUUGUUUGGUUUACCUUUUGUAUCAGGGUUGCUUAAAUACACUAAUUAGUUAUAUUUCUCGAAUCAAUAAUGAACUAUUUUAUGUUUAUUUAAUAAAUUUAGUAAAAAUUUAGUUGUGAAAUGCAAUCGAAUUUUGUGUUAUCUAGUUAUUUAAAUAGGUUAUUUAAUAGUAAUAUACUUUAAGUAUAGCUGAUAGAUAGGUUAAGUUUUUUAUCAUAGUUAGAUUUAUAGUUUAAUUAGGUUAGUUAGGCUUAAUAUUAGCUAUAUUUAAAAAUUGUUGUAAAUUAUUGUUUAUUUAAUAAGAUAAAUUAUAGUGAUUUAGAUAAUUAAAUUUAGUGUUAGUUUUAUAAAUAAAAUGAGUGUAUUAGUAAUAGAUAUAGGCUAUUUAUUUUACUAGAGAAUUAUUUGAUAGUUUAUCAAAAACAUUUUUUUUAGGUAGUUAAAAGUAUAGCCUGCCCAGUGAUUUUAAACGGCUGCAGUAUUUUGACUGUACUAAGGUAGCAUAAUCAUUUGUUUUUUAAUUGAAUACUGGAAUGAAAGGUUUUACAAAUAAUUAGUGAUAAUAGGUUUGUGUAUUAAUUUAUAUUUUAUAUAAAAAUAUUUAAAUAUUACAAAGGGACGAUAAGACCCUAAAAGCUUUUAUAUGUAGGCUUUAAAUAGGUUAAGAGUAUAUUUGGUUGGGGUAACUUAGUUAUUUAAAUUAUUUUAAUAGUUAACACUAAUUAGUGAUAUUUGAUCUUUUAAAUAAAGAAAAAUAGUAGUAGUUACUUUAGGGAUAACAGCGUGAUAUUUUUAGAAAGGCCUUAUUAAUAAGAAUGGUUACGACCUCGAUGUUGAAUUAAAAAGUCUAUUUAUUGCAGAAGGUAAAUAAGAAGGUUGUUC
rnacentral:rRNA from 1 species